CGGCACGUAGCGCAGCCUGGUAGCGCACCGUCAUGGGGUGUCGGGGGUCGGAGGUUCAAAUCCUCUCGGGCCUACCA
rnacentral:tRNA from 1 species